GCCGAAGUGGUGGAAUUGGCAGACACGCUACUUUGAGGGGGUAGUGAAGGAUUUCUUCAUGCGGGUUCGAGUCCCGCCUUCGGCA
rnacentral:tRNA from 1 species